GACGAACGCUGGCGGCGUGCUUAACACAUGCAAGUCGAACGGAAAGGCCCUGCUUUUGUGGGGUGCUCGAGUGGCGAACGGGUGAGUAACACGUGAGUAACCUGCCCUUGACUUUGGGAUAACUUCAGGAAACUGGGGCUAUUACCGGAUAGGAGCUCCUGCUGCAUGGUGGGGGUUGGAAAGUUUCGGCGGUUGGGGAUGGACUCGCGGCUUAUCAGCUUGUUUGUGGGGUAGUGGCUUACCAAGGCUUUGACGGGUAGCCGGCCUGAGAGGGUGACCGGCCAAAUUGGGACUGAGAUACGGCCCAGACUCCAACGGGAGGCAAGAGUGGGGAAGAGUGCACAAUGGGAGGAAGCCUGAGGCAGCAACGCCGCGUGCGGGAUAAGGGCCUUCGGGUUGGAAACCGCUUUCGCCUGUGACGAAGCGUGAGUGACGGUAAUGGGUAAAGAAGCACCGGCUAACUACGUG
rnacentral:rRNA from 1 species